GUGGGGAAUCUUCCGCAAUGGACGAAAGUCUGACGGAGCAACGCCGCGUGAGUGAAGAAGGUUUUCGGAUCGUAAAGCUCUUUCGUUAGGGACGAACGUGCUCUUUGUGAAUAAUGAGGAGUAAUGACGGUACCUAAAUAAGAAGCCACGGCUAACUACGUGCCAGCAGCCGCGGUAAUACGUAGGUGGCAAGCGUUGUCCGGAAUUAUUGGGCGUAAAGCGCGCGCAGGCGGGAUAUCAAGUCUGUCUUAAAAGUGCGAGGCUCAACCUCGUGAGGGGACAGAAACUGGUAUUCUUGAGUGUCGGAGAGGAAAGUGGAAUUCCAAGUGUAGCGGUGAAAUGCGUAGAGAUUUGGAAGAACACCAGUGGCGAAGGCGACUUUCUGGACGAUGUCUGACGCUGAGGCGCGAAAGCUAGGGGAGCGAACGGGAUUAGAUGCCCUAGUAGUCC
rnacentral:rRNA from 1 species